rnacentral:rRNA from 1 species
UACGUAGGGUGCAAGCGUUAAUCAGAAUUACUGGGCGUAAAGCGUGCGCAGGCGGUUAUGCAAGACAGAGGUGAAAUCCCCGGGCUCAACCUGGGAACUGCCUUUGUGACUGCAUAGCUAGAGUGCGGCAGAGGGGGAUGGAAUUCCGCGUGUAGCAGUGAAAUGCGUAGAUAUGCGGAGGAACACCGAUGGCGAAGGCAAUCCCCUGGGCCUGCACUGACGCUCAUGCACGAAAGCGUGGGGAGCAAACAGG